GUGCUUGCUUUGGCAGCACAUAUAAUAAAAUUGGAACAAUACAGAGAUUAACAUGGCCCUUGCUCAAGGAUGACAUGCAAAUUUGUGAAGUGUUCCAUAUUUUU